rnacentral:rRNA from 1 species
AUACGUAGGGGGCGAGCGUUGUCCGGAAUGAUUGGGCGUAAAGGGCGCGUAGGCGGCCCGGUAAGUCUGGAGUGAAAGUCCUGCUUUUAAGGUGGGAAUUGCUUUGGAUACUGUCGGGCUUGAGUGCAGGAGAGGUAAGUGGAAUUCCCAGUGUAGCGGUGAAAUGCGUAGAGAUUGGGAGGAACACCAGUGGCGAAGGCGACUUACGGGACUGUAACUGACGCUGAGGCGCGAAAGUGUGGGGAGCAAACAGGAUUAGAUACCCUGGUAGUCCACACUGUAAACGAUGAAUGCUAGGUGUAGGGGUUGUCAUGACCUCUGUGCCGCCGCUAACGCAUUAAGUAUUCCGCCUGGGGAGUACGGUCGCAAGAUUAAAACUCAAAGGAAUUGACGGGG